rnacentral:rRNA from 1 species
CCUACGGGAGGCAGCAGUAGGGAAUCUUCGGCAAUGGACGAAAGUCUGACCGAGCAACGCCGCGUGAGCGAUGAAGGCCUUCGGGUCGUAAAGCUCUGUUGUCAGAGAAGAACAAGUACCGGAGUAACUGCCGGUACCUUGACGGUACCUGACCAGAAAGCCACGGCUAACUACGUGCCAGCAGCCGCGGUAAUACGUAGGUGGCAAGCGUUAUCCGGAAUUAUUGGGCGUAAAGCGCGCGCAGGCGGUUCCUUAAGUCUGAUGUGAAAGCCCACGGCUCAACCGUGGAGGGUCAUUGGAAACUGGGGAACUUGAGUGCAGGAGAGAAAAGUGGAAUUCCACGUGUAGCGGUGAAAUGCGUAGAGAUGUGGAGGAACACCAGUGGCGAAGGCGGCUUUUUGGCCUGUAACUGACGCUGAGGCGCGAAAGCGUGGGGAGCAAACAGGAUUAGAUACCCUGGUAGUCCACGCCGUAAACGAUGAGUGCUAGGUGUUGGGGGGUUCCACCCUCAGUGCUGACGUUAACACAUUAAGCACUCCGCCUGGGGAGUACGGCCGCAAGGCUGAAACUCAAAGGAAUUGACGGGGGCCCGCACAAGCAGUGGAGCAUGUGGUUUAAUUCGAAGCAACGCGAAGAACCUUAC